rnacentral:rRNA from 1 species
UACGGAGGGUGCGAGCGUUGUCCGGAAUCAUUGGGCGUAAAGGGCGCGUAGGUGGCCCGGUCAGUCAGUGGUGAAAGCGCGGGGCUCAACUCCGCGUCGGCCAUUGAUACUGCUGGGCUGGAGCACUGUAGAGGCAGGCGGAAUUCCGGGUGUAGCGGUGGAAUGCGUAGAGAUCCGGAAGAACACCGGUGGCGAAGGCGGCCUGCUGGGCAGUGGCUGACACUGAGGCGCGACAGCGUGGGGAGCAAACAGG